GAUGAACGCUAGCGGCAGGCCUAAUACAUGCAAGGCGAGGGGUUGGCAACAACACCGUCGUACGGGUGCGUAACGCGUAUGCAACCUACCUAUCACAGGGGGAUAGCCUUUGGAAACAGGGAUUAAUACCGCAUAAAAGCAGGGGCUUGGCAUCAAGAUACUGCUAAAGAUUUACCGGUGAUAGAUGGGCAUGCGUCUGAUUAGUUAGAUGGUGAGGUAACGGCUCACCAUGACGAUGAUCAGUAGGGGCGUCAGAGCGUGGUCCCCCACACUGGCACUGAGAUACGGCCAGACUCCUACGGGAGCAGCAGUGGGAAUAUUGCACAAUGGGGAACCCUGAUGCAGCCAUGCCGCGUGU
rnacentral:rRNA from 1 species